rnacentral:rRNA from 1 species
CCAAGAAGUCUAACGUGUGCGCGAGUCAUUGGGUGAAAAACCUAAAGGCGUAAUGAAAGUAAAGGGGACCUAGUCCCUUAGGGAAGAUGGGAGAAGUACCUUCGAAGUUGCUCCCCGCAUUCCCGGGGCGUCUCUCUCUCAUUGCGAGUGGAGGCGCACCUAGAGCGCACACGUUGGGACCCGAAAGAUGGUGAACUAUGCCUGGCCAGGACGAAGCCAGGGGAAACCCUGGUGGAGGUCCGCAGCGAUUCUGACGUGCAAAUCGAUCGUCAGAGCUGGGUAUAGGGGCGAAAGACUAAUCGAACCAUCUAGUAGCUGGUUCCCUCCGAAGUUUCCCUCAGGAUAGCUGGCGCCCAGGCGAGAAGAGUCUCACCUGGUAGAGCGAAUGAUUAGAGGCCUUGGGGUCGAAACGACCUCAACCUAUUCUCAAACUCCUAACAGAUGAGAACCCCGGCUUGCUUGAAGUGAAGCCGGGGGCUCUGAUCAGGGUGCCAAGUGGGCCAUUUUU